rnacentral:rRNA from 1 species
CACCCGAAGCCGGUGGAGUAACCAUUUAUGGAGCUAGCCGUCGAAGGUGGGACAAAUGAUUGGGGUGAAGUCGUAACAAGGUAGCCGUAUCGGAAGGUGCGGCUGGAUCACCUCCUUU